rnacentral:misc_RNA from 1 species
CCGAGUGAGGGCCUCCGGGCUCGACCUCCAACCCUUUUGUUGACCAACACCCGUUGCCUCGGGGGCGGUCCGGCCUCCACGCCGGAUCACGCCGGUGCACGCCGGGCCCCCGACGGACCACUUUAACGCUGUAUCUGUGCGUCGGAGUACUCAGUGAAUCAAUCA